UUAAAAUACGUGAAACAUGACACAUACAAAAUAAAAAGCGUAUAUUAUCGCGGCGGGAGAUAUCUUACGGUGAAUGAACGUAGCAGAUCAAAUCCGAUUGUUUUAAGCAACGGGAAUGAAAAUGAUAGCGUAGAAUUUACAAUGACUCAAUAUCAGCCGAUUGACUGGUCACAACCGGGAAAUCCAGAAAUCGUAACAUUGCAACACAAGGCCUCGAGAGAGUAUAUUUUGGCAGACGAUGAUGGACUUUCUUUGCCGAAUCCGCGAAUCCAUCCAACACCGCCACCAUCACCACCACCAUCACCACCACCAACACCAAGGCUGAUAAAGAACACCAGCGUUUACCUUUUUAAAGUAAUCAAACCAGACCGCACCAGCUCUUGCAAGUGUCAUGCAGCAAACACCGUAACCUUCCAACCGAUCAACAGAAAUGGUACAGUUGCAAUUGGUUUUAAAAAACAUACUAAUAAAGCUUCAUUGAUGUCUCCCAAAAAGUGCGAAACACAUUUCGAGUUAUUCAAUAAUUCGACUGCUAAUUGAAAUGUGUCAAAAUAUAUACGACAUAUAUUAAUACUGAAGAAGAACUUAACCAUGCCUUUGCCUGGGCCGCAUGCAUUGUUGAACAAAUUAUUGUUAAUGGACGAGAUUCCAUGUACUAUAUGUCUAAAUGUUUUGGGUCCAAUGUCCACGGCAAGAUAGCCAGAAUACUAUUAUUAUAUUUUUAACAAAGCGAACCUUAGGGCGCUUUCCUUUAUAUACGGAAAAAACGGCCAGACCAGUCCCCUGUUGUAGUUCGGUACAGACAGAUUACAGACAGAGUGUUUCAAGAACUCGAUCUGCAUUCAAGUACUGUAUAUCGUUAUUUACAUCUGCCUAGCACGGGUAAUAAAGUUUUAUCGCUAUAUUCUUAACGAAAUACUCUAUUCCAAUUUAAGAUAUGACCGGUCUGACCAUUUUGGCCGCUUAAUGGAAAGUGCACUUACUCGCAGGGGUGUGCUAUAAUGCGGGAUAUUAUUUUUAGCUAUUUAUUAUUAGCUUCAAGGCCACUGCGCUCAGUAGUUUAUUAACCAAGUCUGAACUUCUGUGUUUGACCAUA